UUAUGUAUUUUAUGUCUUUUACAAUAAUAUUUUAUUGAGUUACAUGCGUAGAUGAUAUCAAACAUCAAUUUGAAAUUCCACAAAAAAAACUUGCGAAAUGUCAAAUUUAAUUAGUUUUUUUUUUUAAUUAAAAUUAUGAGGCUGUUAAUUAAUAUUUUAUUAGUGAUCUCAAGUACAAAGUGAAAAUAAAAUAAAUUAAGUUAAUUAACGGAGUAAAUAAAAUAAUAUGCAUUGCAUUUUAAUGGAAAACUGGGAACCCCACACUAAGUUGGAAAGGCUUUCGCGUAAGUUUGUAGAUAGUGGGCGUUUAUGGGAAGCACGUGUCAGCUUGUGGGCGUCUGUUGUUCGGCAACCUGCUCUCUGAGUCGACAAUCACGUGAGUUACUGUGUAGUACAAUCUAGUUACAUGCGUUUUUCUCGACAUGGUUUUUGGGCACCGCAAAACAAUGAGACAGCCAUGAGUUAUCAUGCCUACCGCAUGAAGACAGACAAGAUAAAUAAGCUAAUAAGUAAUAAAUGAAUAGUCGUAAAUGAGGCAGUCAUGAAUUAUCCUGACUAUGGCAUGGAGACUUUUUUUAACAUGACUCGUCUCUCCCCACUACCACUGGCUUAUUUUUAAAUAUUUUUUUAUGAAAAUUUAGCAGAAUGUUCUUAAAAUGAUACUUAAUAAUGUCACAAAUUUUAAGAAUUUGAAUAAAGAAGCUACUCUGAAAAAAAAGUUGCAAAAAUAUGCUCUCG